UUUCUUGCCGGGGAAAAACUAUCCAAGUUCUCUCUGCAGAGUGAGGUGCGUGGAGGAGCAAGAUUCCUUACCCCACAAGUUAAUGUGAAAAAUCUAUCUUGAAGGUUUGUUGUGUCCUUGGACUGGCCUUAAUGGGUGAUUUCUGAGAAACAAAGUCAGAGUCAGCAGCUCAAAGGGAGCAGCAUCAGAGAUCAAUCUUGUAGGAGAGUGGACACAAGAAAGAGGAUCUCUACAAGAAGACAGUCUGCUGGACACUGCUUAAACAGCGCCCAGAUCAGAAAACUUCAUCAGAUGAUGUCCUAAAAACCAGACAGCUGCAUGAGAUGCCUUAAAUAGACUGUUUAUUGUUAUUUUUUCCCUUUGGGUCUCUGUAUCUGUGCUUUCUAAGAGAUCUGCCCCCUUUUGAUUUGUAUAAGUCCCCAAAACUCCUCCAUGAAAUGUUGCCCAACAACACAGCCCUGGAUGGGACAAUUACUAAGGCAUGGCAAGGUCUAACCAUUUUAGCUGAAGAAUUGGCAGAGAACCCUGGGAUAGAUAAUAAAUUGACUGGAUGGUUAGAGUCAUGGUUUGGGAAAUGGAAAGGAAUGGCAGCAUCUAGUUUAACUUCCCUAAUAGUAGUGGCUGGGGUGUUAACAGUGGUUGGAUGUUGUAUAAUACCCUGUGUAUGAGGACUAAUGCAGAGGUUAAUGAAACCGCCAUUACCAAAGAAAUGCCUGUACAGAAUAACCUCUGCUUACUUGUGGAAGGAAAGGACAAGGAAGAAGACCUAUAUGAAAAGGAAAGUGAAAAGGCAUUAAUCAGAUUUGAGGAAGAUGUGGAAACAAAAUUAUGGAUGAAAGAAGAGGAAGGAAUGUGAGAAAUAACUAGUUUUUCAUUUCCACAAAAGUCCUGUGAAACCUAAGGAAUGAAAUCUCAGGAUUAGGUGGAAGUUGAACAAAGGAAGCCAUAAAGUAGAAUCAAAAAAUACUAUUGGUGAGAAUAGAUUAACCAGCAAAAACCUGUUCUGAAUUUAGGUACAGAUUAACAUAUUCGCAUACCAAGAAAAGGGGUGUUUGCACACCCAGAUAAGGGCCUGGGUCUCUGAAUUAUGGGGAGUGGGAGAUGUAAACAGAGGCAGGGAUCUUAAUAGGGAAAUUAGGCACUUCAGGUAGGCUUUUACCUCUGUAGUACCCAGCCAGUGGGGAAACAGGGGAGGGAAAAUCGAAUCAGGAAUUGGGAGUAAAAAGCUGUGUAUCUAUCUGCCGCACGUGGGACACCUGGCCUUGCUAGGCCGUUAAUAAAAGUUUUUUCUGGUUCACCAGUAGUUUUGUGGAAUUCUUGGUAAGACUUUUUGCCACUUACACAACUAAUGAAUAAGAAUUUUACUGAACAACUAACGACUGCUCCAUACAAGGCCUUAUCCCAGAUGUGAGGAAAUGCAAGAAAAGCUUC